rnacentral:rRNA from 1 species
GACGAACGCUGGCGGCGUGCUUAACACAUGCAAGUCGAACGAUGAAGCUGGAGCUUGCUCCGGUGGAUUAGUGGCGAACGGGUGAGUAACACGUGAGAAAUCUGCCCUUGACUCUGGGAUAACUGCGGGAAACUGUAGCUAAUACCGGAUACUUUCCUUGGUGGGCAUCCACUGGGGAAGAAAGAAUUUCGGUCAAGGAUGAGCUCGCGGCCUAUCAGCUAGUUGGUGAGGUAAUGGCUCACCAAGGCGACGACGGGUAGCCGGCCUGAGAGGGUGACCGGCCACACUGGAACUGAGACACGGUCCAGACUCCUACGGGAGGCAGCAGUGGGGAAUAUUGCACAAUGGGCGAAAGCCUGAUGCAGCAACGCCGCGUGAGGGACGAAGGCCUUCGGGUUGUAAACCUCUUUUAGCAGGGAAGAAGCGAAAGUGACGGUACCUGCAGAAAAAGCACCGGCUAACUACGUGCCAGCCGCCGCGGUAA